AAACCUGCUGCAUUCUGUCAAGAUGAGUAAGUAUACCUCCUUCGCACUAUUUUUCAAUACAACUGUAGUGUACAUUUCGUGUAAUAAUGAUUUGUGGGACGUUCUGUCGCGCAAAUAAAUUAAAAUGAAAAAAAAUGUAAUGAUUGAUUUCUUGUCUGGGCAAUCUGUUGGGUUGUCUGAGCUCCUGAUUGACAGUUUGGAAAAAUAAUUUCCGACGUUUAACGAAUGUGUAAUAAAUUAGUUGUGUAUAAAUCAUUCUAAUAAGAUUCAAUUUCUCUAUAAUUGUUUAUUUACAGCCUUUAGUUUAAACCAGUCAUGGAACUUUAUGCUCUAAUAGCAAAUUGAAUUGCAGCCCUGUAAGAAGACGCCUAUAAAACACGCACAUCUGGAUGUUUGCAGUUUAUAAUAGCUCAGCUAUAAUUCCUCCUGUUUUGGCAUUGAUUCUAACCGAAGUUAACCUGAGGAAAUUCUCCCCACUUCUGUUAAGGAGUUGCUUUGAGUAUCCUGAUGUUCGCUUUAGCUGCGGCUGAUGUGAUUGACUACAGUUGCGUGUGUCGAGUCGCCUUCUGGGACGUCCAGGGAAUUCGCACGUUCGCCGAGAUUGAAGGAGGUGUAGUUCAGGCCCCGGCAGACGACUGCCCAGUCGAAGCGGAAGCCAAAUGCAAAGAGCCGUGCAAAGCUGAAUUCAGAAAGCAGGCGGCACAGCUCGCCAACACAGCCUGUACUAAGUUUCCCCACAAGAAACGGGACGCUGUGCUUUUGGUUGUGACUGUAAAACAGAAGCCAUGUCUCCCUCUGCUGGCCACAAUGAACAGCACCACCUUCCUCUGUGAAGACGGAAAACCUACCGCCUUCCAGCCACUCACUCUGGAGAACAUGGCUGACACCUUCAAUAGCUAA
rnacentral:lncRNA from 1 species